UACAGGGGGGGCAAGCGUUGUUCGGAAUUACUGGGCGUAAAGGGCUCGUAGGCGGCCAACUAAGUCACCCGUGAAAUCCCCAGGCUUAACCUGGGAACUGCGUGUGAUACUGGAUGGCUUGAAUUCGGGAGAGGGAUGCAGAAUUCCAGGUGUAGCGGUGAAAUGCGUAGAUAUCUGGAGGAAUACCGGUGGCGAAGGCGACUUUCUGGGCCUGCUUUGACACUCAGACGCGAAAGCAUGGGGAGCGAACGGG
rnacentral:rRNA from 1 species